rnacentral:rRNA from 1 species
AUGACGUCCACGAAGGAGUGUGGUUCAUUCGACAAAUUCCUACCUCUAUAUCUAUCUCUGAGGUUCGUUACAUUUCUCUCUGUUAUUUUGAAAGUAGCUGCUUCAGCUUCAGCCGCGCGAAUUCUCGAUAUUCCUUUUUAUUUCUCAUCAAACGAAUGGCAUCUUCUUCUGGAAAUCCUAGUUAUCCUUAGCAUGAUUUUGGGGAAUCUCCUUGCUAUUACUCAAACAAGCAUGAAACGUAUGCUUGCAUAUUCGUCCAUAGGGCAAAUUGGAUAUGUAAUUAUUGGAAUAAUUGUUGGAAACUCAAAUGAUAACUUAUAUGCUGUUCUAUAUCUCCAUGAAUCUAGGAACUUUUUCUUGCAUUGCAUUAUUUGGUCUACGUACCAGAACUGA